rnacentral:rRNA from 1 species
GAUGAACGCUGGCGGCGUGCCUAAUACAUGCAAGUAGAACGCUGAAGGAGGAGCUUGCUCUUCUGGAUGAGUUGCGAACGGGUGAGUAACGCGUAGGUAACCUGCCUGGUAGCGGGGGAUAACUAUUGGAAACGAUAGCUAAUACCGCAUGACAACAGUUAUUGCAUGAUAACUGUUUAAAAGGGGCAACUGCUCCACUACCAGAUGGACCUGCGUUGUAUUAGCUAGUUGGUGAGGUAACGGCUCACCAAGGCGACGAUACAUAGCCGACCUGGGAGGGUGAUCGGCCACACUGGGACUGAGACACGGCCCAGACUCCUACGGGAGGCAGCAGUAGGGAAUCUUCGGCAAUGGACGGAAGUCUGACCGAGCAACGCCGCGUGAGUGAAGAAGGUUUUCGGAUCGUAAAGCUCUGUUGUAAGAGAAGAACGAGUGUGAGAGUGGAAAGUUCACACUGUGACGGUAUCUUACCAGAAAGGGACGGCUAACUACGUG